rnacentral:rRNA from 1 species
GACAUAGGUGGCGAACGUUAUCCGGAAUUAUUGGGCGUAAAGGGUGCGUAGAUGGUUUUAAAAGUUAUUAGUAGAAAACUAAGGCCCAACCUUAGGAAAGCUAGUAAUACUAUAAGGCUAGAGUGCAGGAGAAGUUAACGGAAUUCCUUGUGGAGCGGUGAAAUGCUUAGAUAUAAGGAAGAACAUCAAUGGCGAAGGCAGUUAACUAUUCUGUUUCUGACAUUGAGGCACGAAAGCGUGGGGAGCAAAACGG